CCCCUGCCUGCCUUUGUCCGCACUCUUACCCUGUCCUGCAGGAAACCCAGGGCUGACAUUGAAUCCCUGCUUGGCUUUCCCCAAGAGAUCCAAUAACCCGGGGUUGCAGAUGGUGGAACAAAGACCCUUUAGGGGCCAAAGUGAAUUCAAGAUACUUCCUAAAAGUCACUGUUCUUCUAGUCUCAGCGUUGUCAGGUUUUGGAUUAUAAAUCAUUAUCUACUCUACUUAUUACCCCGCUCUCAGGCUGUUAAUGUAUAUGGUGCCUUUUUGCAGAUAAAGAAAUACAUCCCCUCUAGACAAACUGCACAAAUGUGGCCCCUCUGUGCAGCAAUUUGGGAAAGUCCCUCCUUCCUGCAGGCUGAUCGAGCCCCUCACCAGGAUACCUCCAGCAAGCACGUGGGAACCUUAGCCCCCGUCCUGUCCCUCAGGUGAUCCCUGCAGAACCUUGCAUGCUGCCUGUUGCAAUCUUGCCAAAGACUCCAUUAGAGCCUUCCUCAGAACAAUGCUUCUCUCCAGCCAUUCACCAGGAAAGGAGGGCUCUCUGGGAACUGCUAUCCUAACAUGACCAGACUGUUAAGACAGCGUCUAUUUCUUCAUGUUUAAAAUAUGGCAACGUAUGUGUGAGCUGCCUUAGGGUCUGAGUGAUAUGGCAUUCUAUUUUUGUCAGAUUGCUCUGGGUUUUACUCCAUUUUUCCCCUUGCCUACAGUGUCCCGAGAAAGUCUUUCUGAGCAGUAACGUGUCCCCUUUAAAAAAUCAAAGCGCCCAUGCAAGGUCAGAGCCCUUGAAAUGAAACUAUGCAGUGGAAUGCACGGAAGCCCAGUUGGGCAUGGCAUUGUCAGAGCUAAGUGAGCCUGAUCCUCCACCACAUAAUUCUAAUUUAAUUAGCCUAAUGAGUUCAGGCUGAUGUCACCAAGUGAUCAAUCAGGUUCGAGUUAUGAGAUAUUGAAAAAUGGGAUUAGAAAAGAAAAAGGGCAUUUGGCAAAUUGAUUCCAGGACAGGGGAGCUGAGAAGUCCUGAUUUAACAAUCGGACGCUUGCUGUUUAUUUUUUUCUCUCAUCCCUUGAAUGCUAAGUCAUAACAAAGCCUGCUUAAAUGUGCUCGCUUGCUCAUGUUUCAUUGGAAUUCAUUUUGUAGUUCCCUCUCUGUUUUGAUUUACAAAUGCUUUCUUUUCGGUCACAGUAAGCCAGAAAUUCUACCUUGCAUGAAACAUUCCAGAAGCAAUGAAUGCCUGCUAUCUAGAAAAAUCAAAUGUCCCUAAGGAAUUUUUGCUCCCUUAGACAUUGUUAAUAUAUAUCGUGAAAAAAAAUGCAAAAGAAAACAUAAGUUUUAAUGUCGACAUGUAACAUUAGUUCCAUUUAAACAUUAAACUCUGUUCUAUUUAGUUAGUAAAGUGGGUGAUUGGCCAAAGAGGGAAUUUUCAUGUGUGGAUUUUUUUCUCCUCUUUUUUCAAAUGGUUAUUAAAGGGAGAAGUCCGUGAGUCAUCUCAGGCCAGAAACUGAAGCUGUGUGAGCCAGACAUUCUUCUAGUUCUCAGAAGGUUAGAAAUUAGGUGAACUUAACAAGCUUGGCCAGUUUUCCAGUUGACUUGCUGUGUCUGAGAUGAAGAUUCAAUUUCAUCCAUUAUUUGAGGUGUGAAGAGGACAACUUUUUCAUUAGCCUUCCAUCUGGUCAUGCUAGCAUGGACAUUUACCUUCAGCAAUGAUGACUGAGUUCCAUUUUCUGACUCAUCAGAAAAUGGAUGAAGAAGUAACUGAAUCCUUCACCCAUGGAAGAAGGUCACCGAGGCCUCAGUGUUCUCUGGGCUUCUUUGUCUAAGCCAUGUGGAAGCACAGAACAAAGUCCGUAUAGUGAUUAAGAGACUGCUCCAAAUUAGAGGAGAUUCUAUGAUGAACCUUCGUGGAGAGAAAUCAACACACGUCCAUAAAAAUUUCUUUAAGGUGUUCAUAUUUUAUCAGGCACCUAUUCAAAUCACUGUACCUUCGGGCGUGGCUGGAAUUGCUGUUUGCUUUCUGCAAGAAACAAAAGGGAACAGUUUUGAAACAGAGCCAUUUAUACUAGUAUUUACCUUUAUCAAUUCAGGUUUCUUUCUUUUGUCCAAUUACUGACUCAAGAAAUAUUUUUUGACUCCUGUUGUCUGAUAGGAACUGUGAUAGCUAAGUGCUAUGUAUGAAAAAAAAAAUUAGUAAAAUGUGAUGUUUACCUUCAAGUUGCUUCGUAUUUCAGAAUGAAGGUAGUCAGUCCUACUAAGAUAAAAUUAAAUUCAGAGUUUAAAUGGGAGCAGAAAGGAAAAAUUGGGACACCUGGAAUGCAGGGAAGAUGUCUCAGUCAUGCUAAGUUGAGUCUUCCAGAACAAGUGGGUUUUGUGCAUCUGUUACAUCUCUCUCUCUC